rnacentral:rRNA from 1 species
UACGUAGGGGGCAAGCGUUGUCCGGAAUCAUUGGGCGUAAAGCGCGUGUAGGCGGCUCGAUAAGUCUGCUGUGAAAGUCCAAGGCUCAACCUCGAGACGCCGGUGGAAACCGUAAAGCUAGAGUCCGGAAGAGGAGAGUGGAAUUCCUGGUGUAGCGGUGAAAUGCGCAGAUAUCAGGAGGAACACCCGUGGCGAAAGCGGCUCUCUGGGACGGUACUGACGCUGAGACGCGAAAGCGUGGGGAGCAAACAGG